GAUGAACGCUGGCGGCGUGCCUAAUACAUGCAAGUCGAGCGAAGCGGCGGAUGGGUGAGUAACGCGUGGGUAACCUGCCUUUCAGUCUGGGAUACCAUUUGGAAACAGAUGCUAAUACCGGAUACUUAAGGAUGGAGCGGGGAUGCAUUAGCUAGUUGGUAAGGUAACGGCUUACCAAGGCGAUGAUGCCUAGCUGGUUUGAGAGAAUGAUCGGCCACACUGGGACUGAGACACGGCCCAGACUCCUACGGGAGGCAGCAGUAGGGAAUCUUCCACAAUGGACGAAAGUCUGAUGGAGCAACGCCGCGUGAGUGAAGAAGGUUUUCGGAUCGUAAAGCUCUUUUGUUGGUGAAGCGGUAAUCAACCAGAAAGUCACGGCUAACUACGUGCCAGCAGCCGCGGUAAUUC
rnacentral:rRNA from 1 species